AAGUCGUAACAAGGUAUCCGUAGGUGAACCUGCGGAUGGAUCAUUACCAAUUUAUAUGUGUCGCUGCUCCUGUUUCGGCGGGGGUAUGCGUACACAAACACCUCAAUGUAAACCGUUGAACCUUCUUACCUACCUUUGUAACACGUGGUUGACUGGAAGAGUACUACUGCACCUAGUGUUGUGUGUCUCCGAUGGCAACCACCUGUUGCAUAUACCAUCAUAUAUACUACUCGUAUAUACUACCAAACAAACAAUCAAACAAACAAACUAUAUGAUUUUACUUAUGGGCUGAGUGGGUAACACCCUUAGCUUUAAUAAAAUAACAUAAUACAACUUUCAGCAAUGGAUCUCUAGGCUCUC
rnacentral:misc_RNA from 1 species